rnacentral:rRNA from 1 species
AUCUAUAACCGUGAAACUGCGAAUGGCUCAUUAAAUCAGUUAUCGUUUAUUYGAUAGUACCUACUUACUUGGAUAACCGUGGUAAUUCUAGAGCUAAUACAUGCUAAAAACCUCGACUUCGGAAGGGGUGUAUUUAUUAGAUAAAAAACCAAUGCCCUCCGGGGCUCCCUGGUGAUUCAUAAUAACUAAACGAAUCGCAUGGCCUUGCGCCGGCGAUGGUUCAUUCAAAUUUCUGCCCUAUCAACUUUCGAUGGUAGGAUAGUGGCCUACCAUGGUGGCAACGGGUAACGGGGAAUUAGGGUUCUAUUCCGGAGAGGGAGCCUGAGAAACGGCUMCCACAUCCAAGGAAGGCAGCAGGCGCGCAAAUUACCCAAUCCCGACACGGGGAGGUAGUGACAAUAAAUACUGAUGUGGAGCUCUUUAGGGUUUCACAAUUGGAAUGAGAAAAAUCUAAACCACUUAAACGAGGAACAAUUGGAGGGCAAGUCUGGUGCCAGCAGCCGCGGUAAUUCCAGCUCCAAUAGCGUAUAUUAAAGUUGUUGCAGUUAAAAAGCUCGUAGUUGAACCUUGGGCCUGGCCGGCCGGUCCGCCUCACCGCGUGCACUGGUUCGGCCGGGCCUUUCCUCCUGGGGAACCGCAUGCCCUUCACUGGGUGUGCCGGGGAAUCAGGACUUUUACUUUGAAAAAAUUAGAGUGNUCAAAGCAGGCAUUUGCUCGAAUACAUUAGCAUGGAAUAAUAGAAUAG